GGAGUUAGCCGGUGCUUCUUCUGUGAGUGAUGUCCUUCCUGCCGGCUAUUAACCCGCAGGCCUUCUUCCUCACUGAAAGUGCUUUACAACCCGAAGGCCUUCUUCACACACGCGGCAUGGCUGGAUCAGGGUUGCCCCCAUUGUCCAAUAUUCCCCACUGCUGCCUCCCGUAGGAGUCUGGGCCGUGUCUCAGUCCCAGUGUGGCUGAUCAUCCUCUCAGACCAGCUACGGAUCGUCGCCUUGGUGAGCCGUUACCUCACCAACCAGCUAAUCCGACAUAGGCUCAUCCGAUAGCGCGAGGCCCGAAGGUCCCCCGCUUUCCCCCGUAGGGCGUAUGCGGUAUUAGCCUGGGUUUCCCCCAGGUUAUCCCCCCGACUACCGGGCAGAUUCCUAUGCAUUACUCACCCGUCCGCCGCUCGCCACCAGGGAGCAAGCUCCCCGUGCUGCCGCUCGACUUGCAUGUGUUAGGCCUGCCGCCAGCGUUCAAUCUGAGCCAGGAUCAAACUCUGA
rnacentral:rRNA from 1 species